AUGAAGCUCUUUGUCGAGACCUUCAUCGGCACCAUGAUCAGCAUCAACGUCGACCCGUCUGACACCAUCAACGUCGUCAAGGCCAAGAUUCAGGAUCAACAGCGCCUUACCUUUGGCGAGGACGAGCUGGAGGACAGACGCACCGUGGCCGAUUACGGCAUCAAGGAUGAAUCCACUAUUCGCCUCCAUCUGCGCUGCCUGAGAAGGAAGAUCCGAAUUUAUCUCAAAGGGUUGACUGGCAAGACCACCACGCAUCAUUUCGAGAACCUCGACACCAUCGCUUGUGUCAAGGCCAUGAUCCAGGACAGAGACGGCAUUCCUACCGACUACCAGAAGCUCAUCUAUGCGGGGAAACACCUAGAAGAUGGUCGCACCAUGGAUGACUAUGCCAUCCAGGACGACGCCACAUUCCACCUCGUGCUCCGUCUCUGA
rnacentral:rRNA from 1 species